rnacentral:tRNA from 1 species
UUUAGUAAAGCAAUUAAUUGCAAUAAGUUUCGACCUUAUAAUUUCAAAUAAAAUUUUGUACUUAAA